CUGAGCUGCAUACUGCAUUUCUUUGUUCUUUUGCACUGAUUAAUGCUUAUAAAAGAUGUGGUAUAUGGUUUAGGUUGAAAAUUGGAUUCAAAAAGUGGAAUGUGAAAUGUAGCAACAAGAAGGUUUGGAAUCGUAAAAGAAAAUUUGAUUGCAGCGAUGUUAAAAUGAAGGCAGAGACAGAGAGAGAAGUUGCCCGUCCGGCGUUGUACAAGAUUUUGAUAAGCUUCCUUUAUGCGGUGACAAAUGCAUGUCCUGUAGUUGGUGGUAACAAGAUAGAAUUUAUGAUGACUAUUGGUAGUGGAAAAAGUCAGCCAAACAAGAGGAAAGAAACGAAAAGUUUUGCGUGUAAGUAGGAAUUUGCGAAACAUUUCGUUGGCGUUACCCGCCUUUUCUUCUCCCUCUCUAUCCACCUCUUCCUCUUUGAAUUUGGAGAAAAACCCUGAUGUGGGUUUGUUUGUGACCAGAGGCCAUUAAUGAACGAAAAUUGCUGUGGAUGUGAGUUCUUUGGUCAUAUGUGACUUUUUAUUUUUCUAAUUUUUAGUCAGAUCAUAAUCUGUCAUUUUUUUUUUUCUUUUUUUUUGGCUAAUAGCAAGUCAUAAUCUCUUGUUUCAUGUGUAUACGGAUGAGAGCUUCUGAGAGGAGGCCAUUAACUUGGGAAAUUGAUGCGAGUCCUUGCCCCCCCUAAAAGCGCUCUUCGUCUCUUUUUUAGGGUUUUCUAUCAUUUCAUGCAUUUUCAUUUCCUCUUUGAUGUAGGUAAAAUGAAGAAAAAAAAAUUGCCCCUUUUUUUGGGUUUCGAUUAC